GGCCGUUCUUGGGUGAUGCACCCUGGAAUCGGGCUCCCUUCUCUCUGGUUCCAGGGUGUAUCACCCAAGAACCACC
rfam:Myotis lucifugus cont2.22363, whole genome shotgun sequence.